GUCGAGGAUCAUUUGCAAUGGGCGAAAGCCUGACAGUGCGACGCUGCGUGGAGGAUGAAGGCCUUCGGGUUGUAAACUCCUGUCAUUCGGGAACAAGCGUCCGGUUGUGAAUAGCAGCUGGACUUGAUAGUACCGGAAGAGGAAGCCACGGCUAACUCUGUGCCAGCAGCCGCGGUAAUACAGAGGUGGCGAGCGUUGUUCGGAUUUACUGGGCGUAAAGGGCGCGUAGGCGGCCUUGUGUGUCGGAUGUGAAAUCUCACCGCCUAACGGUGAAACGGCAUUCGAAACUGCGAGGCUUGAGUGCAGGAGAGGAGAGCGGAAUUCUUGGUGUAGCAGUGAAAUGCGUUGAUAUCAAGAGGAACGCCAGUGGCGAAGGCGGCUCUCUGGAAUGCAACUGACGCUGAGGCACGAAAGCUGGGGGAGCAAACAGGAUUAGAUACCCUUGUAGUCC
rnacentral:rRNA from 1 species